ACAUGCCUGCAGCAUAGUGUUAAUGCACAUGAUCCCAUUAGAACUCUGCAGUUAAGCACGCUUAGGCUAUAUUAGUACUGGGAUGGGUGACUGCCCGGGAAGUCCUAGUGUUUUACAUGCC
rnacentral:rRNA from 1 species